GAGAUCUGGCAAAUUCAGUAAUAGGGUCUGAUGGCCGGGCAGGACCACCAGAUGUGAGAUAGGGAGCCAGUGGCGGCAGUACACCUCCAGCAAAGAUCAGUGGAGAGUAUCUUGAUUUUAAAAAGGUACUCGGGCGUUCUAUACCACCGCAGC